UACGAAGGGUGCAAGCGUUACUCGGAAUUACUGGGCGUAAAGCGUGCGUAGGUGGUUUGUUAAGUCUGCUGUGAAAGCCCCGGGCUCAACCUGGGAAUGGCAGUGGAUACUGGCAAGCUAGAGUGCGAUAGAGGGGUGUGGAAUUCCCGGUGUAGCGGUGAAAUGCGCAGAUAUCAGGAGGAACACCGGUGGCGAAGGCGGGUCUCUGGGCCGAAACUGACGCUGAGGAGCGAAAGCGUGGGGAGCAAACAGG
rnacentral:rRNA from 1 species